GGAAAGGCGCGCGAUACAGGGUGACAGCCCCGUACACAAAAAUGCACAUGCUGUGAGCUCGAUGAGUAGGGCGGGACACGUGGUAUCCUGUCUGAAUAUGGGGGGACCAUCCUCCAAGGCUAAAUACUCCUGACUGACCGAUAGUGAACCAGUACCGUGAGGGAAAGGCGAAAAGAACCCCGGCGAGGGGAGUGAAAAAGAACCUGAAACCGUGUACGUACAAGCAGUGGGAGCACGCUUAGGCGUGUGACUGCGUACCUUUUGUAUAAUGGGUCAGCGACUUAUAUUCUGUAGCAAGGUUAACCGAAUAGGGGAGCCGAAGGGAAACCGAGUCUUAACUGGGCGUUAAGUUGCAGGGUAUAGACCCGAAACCCGGUGAUCUAGCCAUGGGCAGGUUGAAGGUUGGGUAACACUAACUGGAGGACCGAACCGACUAAUGUUGAAAAAUUAGCGGAUGACUUGUGGCUGGGGGUGAAAGGCCAAUCAAACCGGGAGAUAGCUGGUUCUCCCCGAAAGCUAUUUAGGUAGCGCCUCGUGAAUUCAUCUCCGGGGGUAGAGCACUG
rnacentral:rRNA from 1 species